UACGGAGGGGGCGAGCGUUAUUCGGAAUUAUUGGGCGUAAAGGGCGCGUAGGCGGCCCGGUAAGUCAAAGGUGAAAUCCCUCGGCUCAACUGAGGAACUGCCUUUGAAACUGUCGGGCUUGAGGCCGGGAGGGGGUAGCGGAAUUCCCAGUGUAGCGGUGAAAUGCGUAGAGAUCGGGAAGAACAUCGGUGGCGAAAGCGCUCUACUGGACCGCAACUGACACUCAGGGACGAAAGCUAGGGGAGCGAAUGGG
rnacentral:rRNA from 1 species